rnacentral:lncRNA from 1 species
AACAUUUAUCAAAAAAAAAAGCCAAAUCAAAUGGCUAAAUACUUGACCAAAUCAUGUAGGCUACAUUAGCCCAACAACCUAUACAAUGCCAUUAUAACCCAAAAAUAAUAAACCAUGAGUACCAAAAUAGCCAAUAGAUAGUGUGAUGAUGUCUCUGACUCUUCCAACUGCGCGAACUUCCGAUAUCUAGAUACACAAAGAAUUUUAAAACGACGUAAGUAUAAAAUGCUUAGUAAGUUUGUAAUUCAAAGAAGUAAAGCCUAUAACUUCAAUUUAUAAGCAUAAUUUAUUUAAGUCACUCCAACAUGCCUUGGCCUUAGCCUAACCAACAUUAGCCUUUCAAUUUUAAACAUCACAUGAACUAGCAAAUUAUUACAAAACAUUAUGACAUAAGUUUACAUUACUUAUGUGCAUUCACAUAUCAACCAUAUAGCUAAAUAUAUUUUAAUCAUCCAAAAACUCAUUCUUCUCCAUUCUUUCAAUAGCAAUUCAAAUUGAAGAAUUUUUCAAUCUUUACCUUUUUCUCAUAUCCAUUGAACCACAAUUUAAAUGAAUAAACAUAUCAUAAUAUAACUCAUAUUGUUCCACCAACCUAUCAUACAUUCAUUCACAAGGUUAGCUACGAAAUUCACAAAUUUCAUCAAUUCAAUGCUUGUACAGUUCUUGUACAUACCUGUACCAUCUCGUACCAAUUUCAUACUCAUCCAUAUUUUUGAUAUACCCAUUGAACCAUUUGGAAUAAAUAUUGGAUACUCGGGAAUCUUGCACACUAAGUGCUAAUAUCAUGGCUCGAAGCCAAAUCAAUGUAACUUUAAUGACAUGCCCUUUGUAUCUUAAUUUAUUCCUAAGGUUCAACUGGGUUUUCCAAUGCUAAAUUUUCAUAAAAUACUUCCGUACAAUCAUAAUCAUCAACAAUUCAAAUAUACAGCAUUAAAUCUCAAUUAUAAUAAUGUUUAUUAACAAGCUCAUACAUCCAUGUACAUACCUGUACCGAUCCAUAACAAAAUCAUACUUACACGAAAUGUCGCUGCACAAUCGAUGUCUUGCACGCUAAGUGCUAUACCGGAUGUUUCGCACACUAAGUGCCAUCCUCGAUACUUCGUACACUAAGUGCCAUUUCGGAUGUUUCGCACACUAAGUGUCAUCAUCAAUACUUCGUAUACUAAGUGCCAUUUCGGAUGUCUCGCACACUAAGUGCCAUCCUCAAUACUUCGGACGCUAAGUGCCAUUUCAAAUGUCUCGCACACUAAGUGCCAUUUCAGAUGUCUCGCACACUAAGUGUCAUCCUCAAUACUUCGCACA